UACGUAGGGUGCAAGCGUUAUCCGGAAUUAUUGGGCGUAAAGAGCUCGUAGGCGGUUUGUCGCGUCUGCUGUGAAAACUGGGGGCUCAACCCCCAGCCUGCAGUGGGUACGGGCAGACUAGAGUGCGGUAGGGGAGAUUGGAAUUCCUGGUGUAGCGGUGGAAUGCGCAGAUAUCGGGAGGAACACCGAUGGCGAAGGCAGAUCUCUGGGCCGUAACUGACGCUGAGGAGCGAAAGCAUGGGGAGCGAACAGG
rnacentral:rRNA from 1 species